CCCNCANUAAUGGCGAAUGAACAGGGAUGAGCUCAGCAUCGAAAUUGGGGCUUCUGGCCUUGACUUGUAGUUUCGAGUAGCUCCACCAACGGAGGCGCAGAUGUAAGCCUCUUGGAAAAGAGCAUCAACGAGGGCGAGAGUCCCGUUUGUCAUUUGCAGUCCCCCGUGUACGGUGUGCCUACUAAGAGUCACGUUCCUCGGGAUUGGAGCGCAAAGCGGGUGGUAAAUUUCAUCCAAAGCUAAAUAUAGGUUCGAGACCGAUAGCAAACAAGUACCAUGAGGGAAAGAUGAAAAGGACUUUGGAAAGAGAGUUAAAAGUGCCUGAAAUUGCUGAAAGGGAAGCGAAUGGAACCAGUGUAUCUUGGUGAGAUUGUUGCGUGCUAAAGUGAGUGUGUGCUGCAUCAACGCAAGUGGUGUGGUGUGCUCUAAUCUGGAUGUGCGUGGUGCUUCUUGCCUUGCGUGUCAACGUCAGUUUGGAGUUGAGGAAAACUCAAGGGACAUGGUAGCUCGCUNACGGGUGAUCGAAAGUGCCUUGUAGAACUCAUCACUGGACUGAAUAUGGUGUGUCUUGGUGCAUUGCCUCAGGGCCUCAUCAACCCGAGCAUUUCGCUUGUGGCUGGUUUGAUUCCUGUUGCAACCCUUGNCAUGAAUAUGAUGACAAAAUGGUUUCACUCGACCCGUCUUGAAACA
rnacentral:rRNA from 1 species